GGAGUCAGCUAAACAAUCGCUGUAUGUAAAUGCAGAGGAAAGUCCGGGCUUCACAGAACGCAGUGCCAGAUAACGUCUGGAUGGCGCGAGCCACUGGAAAGUGCCACAGAAAAUAGACCGCCUUGGCAACAAGGUAAGGGUGAAAUGGUGCGGUAAGAGCGCACCGCGUACUUGGUAACAAGUGCGGCAGGGUAAACCCCGCUGGAAGCAAGGCCAAAUAGGAAUCCGUUAACGUUGUUCGCGUUGGAUUCGGGUAGGCUGCUUGAGACGCAUAGUGAUAUUCGUCCCAGAUAAAUGAUUGUUCACGACAGAACCCGGCUUAUCGGCUGACUCACACU
rnacentral:RNase_P_RNA from 1 species